rnacentral:rRNA from 1 species
AUGAACGCUAGCUACAGGCUUAACACAUGCAAGUCGAACGAGAAGAGAUGAGAAGCUUGCUUCUUAUCAAUUCGAGUGGCAAACGGGUGAGUAACGCGUAAGCAACCUGCCCUUCAGAUGGGGACAACAGCUGGAAACGGCUGCUAAUACCGAAUACGUUCUCUUUGUCGCAUGGCAGAGGGAAGAAAGGGAGGCUCUUCGGAGCUUUCGCUGAAGGAGGGGCUUGCGUCUGAUUAGCUAGUUGGAGGGGUAACGGCCCACCAAGGCGACGAUCAGUAGCCGGUCUGAGAGGAUGAACGGCCACAUUGGGACUGAGACACGGCCCAGACUCCUACGGGAGGCAGCAGUGGGGAAUCUUCCGCAAUGGACGAAAGUCUGACGGAGCAACGCCGCGUGAACGAUGACGGCCUUCGGGUUGUAAAGUUCUGUUAUACGGGACGAAUGGCGUAGCGGUCAAUACCCGUUACGAGUGACGGUACCGUAAGAGAAAGCCACGGCUAACUACGUG